rnacentral:piRNA from 1 species
UGUGCGCCAAUUAUGUAUAGGCAUAAGACA